rnacentral:sRNA from 1 species
GCCUGAAUAAGGUGCUUGCGGUGGAGGC